rnacentral:rRNA from 1 species
AUCAGCCUUUUGGGUGUGAUUUUGUGGAGCGUGAAGAGUUAAACGCCUUCAUGCCUGCAUAUUCGUGCACUUUGGGUGUACUUGCCCGUAUGGUUGGUUAACAUCAAUUUUGGUGGUCAUAAAAUGACUGGAGGAAUGUAGCUUCGAUCUUGUAUUGAAGUGUUAUAGCCUUCGGUAGAUGUGAUGAUCGAGAUUGAGGAUUGCAACGGAUACCCUUCGGGGCUACCUGUCUGGUCUCUGAUCGUUGCUCUGGUGCCGAAAGCUUGCUUACGGUUAUCAAAGUCGAUGGUCAAUAGGUUAGAACAGGUUAAAUUUGUUAAGGAUGUUGACGUAAUGGCUUU